AGUGAACGCUGGCGGUAGGCCUAACACAUGCAAGUCGAACGGCAGCACAGUAAGGGCUUGCUCUUACGGGUGGCGAGUGGCGGACGGGUGAGGAAUACAUCGGAAUCUACUUUUUCGUGGGGGAUAACGUAGGGAAACUUACGCUAAUACCGCAUACGACCUACGGGUGAAAGCAGGGGAUCUUCGGACCUUGCGCGAUUGAAUGAGCCGAUGUCGGAUUAGCUAGUUGGCGGGGUAAAGGCCCACCAAGGCGACGAUCCGUAGCUGGUCUGAGAGGAUGAUCAGCCACACUGGAACUGAGACACGGUCCAGACUCCUACGGGAGGUAGCAGUGGGGAAUAUUGGACAAUGGGCGCAAGCCUGAUCCAGCCAUACCGCGUGGGUGAAGAAGGCCUUCGGGUUGUAAAGCCCUUUUGUUGGGAAAGAAAAGCAGCAGGUUAAUACCCCGCUGUUCUGACGGUACCCAAAGAAUAAGCACCGGCUAACUUCGUG
rnacentral:rRNA from 1 species